rnacentral:rRNA from 1 species
AGGUGAUCGCCGUUGAAGACGGUUCCUCUUCGGAGGCACCUCGCACAGGUGCUGCAUGGCUGUCGUCAGCUCGUGUCGUGAGAUGUUGGGUUAAGUCCCGCAACGAGCGCAACCCUUAUCCCCAGUUGCCAUCAGGUAAAGCUGGGAACGUCUGGGGAGACUGCCGGUGAUAAACCGGAGGAAGGCGGGGAUGACGUCAAGUCAGCAUGACCUUUAUAUCCAGGGCUACACACACGCUACAAUGGUCAGUACAAUGGGUUGCCAAGCCGCGAGGCGGAGCCAAUCCUAAAAAGCUGGCCUCAGUUCAGAUUGCAGUUUGAAACUCGACUGCAUGAAGUCGGAGUUGCUAGUAAACGCAGGUCAGCUAUACUGCGUUGAAUACGUUCCCGGGGCUU